GCCGAAGUGGUGGAAUGGUAGACACGUACGGUUCAGAGCCGUAUGCCCGUAAGGGCGUGGAGGUUCAAGUCCUCUCUUCGGCA
rnacentral:tRNA from 1 species